rnacentral:rRNA from 1 species
CCUACGGGUGGCAGCAGUGGGGAAUAUUGCGCAAUGGGCGAAAGCCUGACGCAGCGACGCCGCGUGAGGGAUGAAGGUCUUCUGAUCGUAAACCUCUGUCAGCAGGGAAGAACGGUCACUGUGCUAAUCAGCAGUGCAUUGACUGUACCUUCAAAGGAAGCACCGGCUAACUCCGUGCCAGCAGCCGCGGUAAUACGGCGGGUGCGAGCGUUAAGCGGAAUUACUGGGCGUAAAGCGCUCGUAGGCGGUAUGUCAAGUCAAGGGUGAAAUCCCCGCGCUCAACGUGGGAACUGCCUUUGAAACUGGCAAACUGGAGUGUGUGAGAGGAAAGUGGAAGUGCAGGUGUAGGAGUGAAAUCCGUAGAUAUCUGGAGGAACAUCAGUGGCGAAGGCGACUAUCUGGAACAUAACUGACGCUGAGGAGCGAAAGCGUGGGUAGCAAACAGGAUUAGAUACCCCUGUAGUC